rnacentral:rRNA from 1 species
GACUACAUGAAGCCGGAAUCGCUAGUAAUCGCGGAUCAGAAUGCCGCGGUGAAUACGUUCCCGGGUCUUGUACACACCGCCCGUCACACCAUGGGAGCCGGGAAUGCCCGAAGUCAGUGGCCCAACCGCAAGGGGGGAGCUGCCGAAGGCAGGCCUGGUGACUGGGGUGAAGUCGUAACAAGGUACC